rnacentral:rRNA from 1 species
GACGAACGCUGGCGGCGUGCUUAACACAUGCAAGUCGAACGGAAAGGCCCUUUGCUUGCACGGGGUACUCGAGUGGCGAACGGGUGAGUAACACGUGGGUGAUCUGCCUUGCACUUCGGGAUAAGCCUGGGAAACUGGGUCUAAUACCGGAUAGGACCAUGCUUUAGUGUGUGUGGUGGAAAGUUUUUCGGUGCAAGAUGAGCCCGCGGCCUAUCAGCUUGUUGGUGGGGUAAUGGCCUACCAAGGCGACGACGGGUAGCCGGCCUGAGAGGGUGUACGGCCACAUUGGGACUGAGACACGGCCCAGACUCCUACGGGAGGCAGCAGUGGGGAAUAUUGCACAAUGGGCGCAAGCCUGAUGCAGCGACGCCGCGUGGGGGAUGACGGCCUUCGGGUUGUAAACUCCUUUCGCUAGGGAAGAAGCCUUUUGGUGACGGUACCUGGAUAAGAAGCACCGGCUAACUACGUG